ACGGCUGCGGAAUCCAGGCCAUAUUGGAGGUUGGCUAUUGAGACGACGCAGCAGAUGAAGAGACACUUUCGAUUCGCCCAGAGCGAAGUAUCUGCCGACCCAAGUAUCGCCAUCCUCGUUGCUGUUUGCGUUAAGUAGUCCGAG
rnacentral:misc_RNA from 1 species